rnacentral:rRNA from 1 species
GACGAACGCUGGCGGCGUGCUUAACACAUGCAAGUCGAACGGUGAAGCGCCUUCCUUUUUGGUGGGUGUGGAUGAGUGGCGAACGGGUGAGUAACACGUGAGUAACCUGCCCCCUUCUUCUGGAUAACCGCAUGAAAGUGUGGCUAAUACGGGAUAUUCUGGGUCUGUCGCAUGAUGGGUCUGGGAAAGAUAUUGUUUCGGUGGGGGAUGGGCUCGCGGCCUAUCAGCUUGUUGGUGGAGUGAUGGCCUACCAAGGCGGUGACGGGUAGCCGGCCUGAGAGGGUGGACGGUCACACUGGGACUGAGACACGGCCCAGACUCCUACGGGAGGCAGCAGUGGGGAAUAUUGCACAAUGGGCGCAAGCCUGAUGCAGCGACGCCGCGUGAGGGAUGGAGGCCUUCGGGUUGUGAACCUCUUUCGCCAGUGAAGCAGGCCUGCCUCGUUUGUGGGUGGGUUGACGGUAGCUGGAUAAGAAGCGCCGGCUAACUACGU